rnacentral:rRNA from 1 species
AAGUCGAGCGGCAGGGUGCAGCAAUGCGCCUGAGAGCGGCGGACUGGUGAGUAGCGCGUGGGUAACCUACCCUUGGGAUGGGGAUAGCCAUUAGAAAUAGUGGGUAAUACCGAAUACGGUUGCGAGGCAGGGGCUUUGCAACGAAAGGGGCUUCGGCUCCGCCCGGGGAUGGGCCCGCGUUCCAUUAGCUAGUUGGUGGGGUAAGGGCCUACCAAGGCGAUGAUGGGUAGCCGGCCUGAGAGGGUGAACGGCCACACUGGGACUGAGAUACGGCCCAGACUCCUACGGGAGGCAGCAGCUAAGAAUAUUCCGCAAUGGACGAAAGUCUGACGGAGCGACGCCGCGUGGAUGAAGAAGGCCGAAAGGUUGUAAAGUUCUUUUGUUGCUGAAGAAUAAGCGGGGGAGGGAAUGCCCUCGUGAUGACGUUAGGCGACGAAUAAGCCCCGGCUAAUUACGUGCCAGCAGCCGCGGUAACACGUAAGGGGCGAGCGUUGUUCGGAAUUAUUGGGCGUAAAGGGCGCGUAGGCGGUUAUGUAAGCCUGGCGUGAAAUGGUAGGGCUUAACCCUAUCACGGCGUUGGGAACUGUGUAACUUGAGUCAUGGAGGGGGAGUUGGAAUUCCGCGUGUAGGGGUGAAAUCUGUAGAUAUGCGGAAGAACACCGGUGGCGAAGGCGAGC